GCCGUGUUGGCGUAGUGGUAGCGCGUCUCACUCGUACGGUUAAUGUCCAAUGAGAAGGUCACUCGUUCAAUCCGGGUACGCGGCA